rnacentral:RNase_P_RNA from 1 species
CGAGCCGGCCGGACGGCCGCGUCGGGAGGCCACUGGCCGAGGUCAAGGGUCUCCCGCCGAGGAAAGUCCGGGCUCCACAGGGCAAGGUGGUCGGUAACGCCGACCCGGGGUGACCCGCGGGACAGUGCCACAGAAAGCAGACCGCCACCGGUUCGCCGGUGGUAAGGGUGAAACGGUGAGGUAAGAGCUCACCAGCGCCCACGGUGACGUGGGCGGCUCGGUAAACCCCACCUGGAGCAAGGUCAAGAAGGUGAGCCGACAGGCUCUCCGCGCAGGCGUUCGAGGGCUGCCCGCCCGAGCCUGCGGGUAGGUCGCUGGAGACCGCCGGCAACGGCGGUCCGAGAUGGAUGGCCGUCGCCCGCCCGCCGCAAGGCGCGGCGGGGCACAGAACCCGGCUUACAGGCCGGCUCGUCCG